rnacentral:tRNA from 1 species
GGUGAUUUAGCUCAGUGGUAGAGCGCUUGCCUAGCCAGCACAAGGCCCUGGGUUCAGUUCCCAGCUCCA